UACGGAGGGUGCAAACGUUGCUCGGAAUCAUUGGGCGUAAAGCGCGCGUAGGCGGCGAGGCAAGUUGGAUGUGAAAGCCCCGGGCUCAGCCCGGGAAGUGCGCUCGAAACUGCGCGGCUCGAGUGCCGGAGGGGAGAGUGGAAUUCCUGGUGUAGCGGUGAAAUGCGUAGAUAUCAGGAGGAAUACCGGUGGCGAAAGCGACUCUCUGGACGGCAACUGACGCUGAGGCACGAAAGCGUGGGGAGCAAACAGG
rnacentral:rRNA from 1 species